rnacentral:rRNA from 1 species
UGCAAGUCGAGCGGACAGAAGGGAGCUUGCUCCCGGAUGUUAGCGGCGGACGGGUGAGUAACACGUGGGUAACCUGCCUGUAAGACUGGGAUAACUCCGGGAAACCGGAGCUAAUACCGGAUAGUUCCUUGAACCGCAUGGUUCAAGGAUGAAAGACGGUUUCGGCUGUCACUUACAGAUGGACCCGCGGCGCAUUAGCUAGUUGGUGGGGUAAUGGCUCACCAAGGCGACGAUGCGUAGCCGACCUGAGAGGGUGAUCGGCCACACUGGGACUGAGACACGGCCCAGACUCCUACGGGAGGCAGCAGUAGGGAAUCUUCCGCAAUGGACGAAAGUCUGACGGAGCAACGCCGCGUGAGUGAUGAAGGUUUUCGGAUCGUAAAGCUCUGUUGUUAGGGAAGAACAAGUGCGAGAGUAACUGCUCGCACCUUGACGGUACCUAACCAGAAAGCCACGGCUAACUACGUGCCAGCAGCCGCGGUAAUACGUAGGUGGCAAGCGUUGUCCGGAAUUAUUGGGCGUAAAGGGCUCGCAGGCGGUUUCUUAAGUCUGAUGUGAAAGCCCCCGGCUCAACCGGGGAGGGUCAUUGGAAACUGGGAAACUUGAGUGCAGAAGAGGAGAGUGGAAUUCCACGUGUAGCGGUGAAAUGCGUAGAGAUGUGGAGGAACACCAGUGGCGAAGGCGACUCUCUGGUCUGUAACUGACGCUGAGGAGCGAAAGCGUGGGGAGCGAACAGGAUUAGAUACCCUGGUAGUCCACGCCGUAAACGAUGAGUGCUAAGUGUUAGGGGGUUUCCGCCCCUUAGUGCUGCAGCUAACGCAUUAAGCACUCCGCCUGGGGAGUACGGUCGCAAGACUGAAACUCAAAGGAAUUGACGGGGGCCCGCACAAGCGGUGGAGCAUGUGGUUUAAUUCGAAGCAACGCGAAGAACCUUACCAGGUCUUGACAUCCUCUGACAACCCUAGAGAUAGGGCUUUCCCUUCGGGGACAGAGUGACAGGUGGUGCAUGGUUGUCGUCAGCUCGUGUCGUGAGAUGUUGGGUUAAGUCCCGCAACGAGCGCAACCCUUGAUCUUAGUUGCCAGCAUUCAGUUGGGCACUCUAAGGUGACUGCCGGUGACAAACCGGAGGAAGGUGGGGAUGACGUCAAAUCAUCAUGCCCCUUAUGACCUGGGCUACACACGUGCUACAAUGGACAGAACAAAGGGCUGCAAGACCGCAAGGUUUAGCCAAUCCCAUAAAUCUGUUCUCAGUUCGGAUCGCAGUCUGCAACUCGACUGCGUGAAGCUGGAAUCGCUAGUAAUCGCGGAUCAGCAUGCCGCGGUGAAUACGUUCCCGGGCCUUGUACACACCGCCCGUCACACCACGAGAGUUUGCAACACCCGAAGUCGGUGAGGUAACCUUUAUGGAGCCAGCCGCCGAAGGUGGGGCAGAUGAUUGGGGUGAAGUCGUAACACCGUAA